rnacentral:lncRNA from 1 species
GGCUAAGGGCUCACCAUUGUUCCUGCACAGCUAAGUGCCCGGGUUCGUCCUAAUUGAGCUGAACACUAGUCGCUAGGUUCCACCAUUCUCUUCAGUGACCCACGGCUUCUAAUAGAGCUAUGACACUCACCACAUGGCCCAGGAUUCCAUUCCUUGGAAUCCGUGAGGCCAAGAACACCAGGUCAGAGAACACUAGGCUUGCCACCAUCUUGGAAGUGGCCCACCACCAUCUUGGAAGUGGCUCGCCACCAUCUUAGGAGCCCUGUGAGCAAGGACCCCUGGGAGAAAGCAUUUAUGGUGAGGAGAAAAACAGCUGGUAUCACACUCUACCCAAGUCCCAAAAACAGGUUCACAUAACUCCUGUCUUCGUUAUCUGAUAUCCGGGACUUUUUCCCUUUCACCUUCCAUUAUAGGAUGAUGCAGCAAGAAGGCCCUCACCAGAUACCAGUCCUUUGAUCUUGGACUACUCAGGCUCCAGAACUAUAAGAAAUAAAUCUCCUUUCUUUGAGGAUUAGCCAGUUUGUGCUAUUCUGUUAUGGCAGCACAAAAUGGACUAAGACAUGGGUCCAAUCUAAGGCCCAUCUCCCAGAGGACACCUCAUAGCUGUGAAUGAAU